AUACGUAGGUGACAAGCGUUAUCCGGAUUUACUGGGCGUAAAGGGCGUGUAGGCGGUCUUGCAAGUCUGAAGUGAAAGCUCGGGGCUCAACCCCGGAACUGCUUUGGAAACUGUUUUACUGGAGUGCAGGAGAGGUAAGCGGAAUUCCUAGUGUAGCGGUGAAAUGCGUAGAUAUUAGGAGGAACACCAGAGGCGAAGGCGGCUUACUGGACUGUAACUGACGUUGAGGCUCGAAGGCGUGGGGAGCAAACAGGAUUAGAUACCCUGGUAGUCCACGCGGUAAACGAUGAUCACUAGGUGUCGGCGGCCAUAGGCGGUCGGUGCCGCAGCAAACGCAAUAAGUGAUCCACCUGGGGAGUACGUUCGCAAGAAUGAAACUCAAAUGAAUUGACGGGG
rnacentral:rRNA from 1 species